rnacentral:rRNA from 1 species
GAGAGUUAAACAGUACGUGAAAUUGUUGAAAGGGAAACGAUUGAAGCCAGUCGUACCUUCGGGUAAUCAGCCUUUCGGGGCUACCUGUCUGAUCUCUGAUUGUUGCUUUGGUGCUGAAAGCGUGCUUAUAGUUAUCAAAGUCGAUGGUCAAUAGGUUAGAAUGGGUUAAAUUCGUUAAGGAUGUUGACGUAAUGGCUUUAAACGACCCGUCUUGAAACACGGCUGUCUCUUAUACACAUCUCCGAGCCCACGA